rnacentral:rRNA from 1 species
CCUACGGGAGGCAGCAGUGGGGAAUAUUGGACAAUGGGCGAAAGCCUGAUCCAGCAAUGCCGCGUGAGUGAUGAAGGCCUUCGGGUCGUAAAGCUCUUUUACCAGGGAUGAUAAUGACAGUACCUGGAGAAUAAGCUCCGGCUAACUCCGUGCCAGCAGCCGCGGUAAUACGGAGGGAGCUAGCGUUGUUCGGAAUUACUGGGCGUAAAGAGUACGUAGGCGGUUAUUCAAGUCAGAGGUGAAAGCCCGGGGCUCAACCCCGGAACUGCCUUUGAAACUAGAUAACUAGAGUCUUGGAGAGGUUAGUGGAAUUCCGAGUGUAGAGGUGAAAUUCGUAGAUAUUCGGAAGAACACCAGUGGCGAAGGCGACUAACUGGGCAAGUACUGACGCUGAGGUACGAAAGCGUGGGGAGCAAACAGGAUUAGAUACCCUGGUAGUCCACGCCGUAAACGAUGAUAACUAGUUGUUCGGUCACUUGGUGACUGAGUGACGCAGCUAACGCAUUAAGUUAUCGCCUGGGGAUACGGUCGCAAGNUUAAAACCNCAAGAUGACGNNGNGANGCGAGACGACACGAGGAGAG